rnacentral:misc_RNA from 1 species
AGCAGCCGCGGUAAUUCCAGCUCCAAUAGCGUAUAUUAAAGUUGUUGCAGUUAAAAAGCUCGUAGUUGAAUUUCGGGAUCAGUUGAUCGGUCGUGCCUCGGUACGUACUGGUCAAAUUGAUUCCUACCUUCUGACGAACCACGAUGUCAUUAAUUUGGUGUCGUGGGAAAUCAGGACUGUUACUUUGAAAAAAUUAGAGUGUUUAAAGCAGGCUCGCGCUUGAAUACAUUAGCAUGGAAUAAUGAAAUAGGACGUUUGAUUCUAUUUUGUUGGUUUCUAGGAUCGACGUAAUGAUUAAUAGGGAUAGUUGGGGGCAUUAGUAUUCAAUUGUCAGAGGUGAAAUUCUUGGAUUUAUUGAAGACUAACUACUGCGAAAGCAUUUGCCAAGGAUGUUUUCAUUAAUCAAGAACGAAAGUUAGGGGAUCGAAGACGAUCAGAUACCGUCGUAGUCUUAACCAUAAACCAUGCCGACUAGGGAUCGGAUGAUGUUAAUUUUUUAAUGACUCAUUCGGCGCCUUAC